UACAGAGGGGGCAAGCGUUGUUCGGAAUUACUGGGCGUAAAGCGUGCGCAGGCGGUUAUGCAAGACAGAUGUGAAAUCCCCGGGCUCAACCUGGGAACUGCAUUUGUGACUGCAUGGCUGGAGUGCGGCAGAGGGGGAUGGAAUUCCGCGUGUAGCAGUGAAAUGCGUAGAUAUGCGGAGGAACACCGAUGGCGAAGGCAAUCCCCCGGGCCUGCACUGACGCUCAUGCACGAAAGCGUGGGGAGCAAACAGG
rnacentral:rRNA from 1 species